rnacentral:rRNA from 1 species
CCUACGGGGGGCUGCUCCAGGCCGAAGCUGCGCAAGAGCAGGGGGUGCAGCUCUCCAAAGCAGCCGAUCCUCUUGCCUUCUGCGAAGAGGUCCGCCCCCCUUCCCGGCAUAAAAGCUCUGUCCUUGGUGGGAACGAUAUCCGCCUCGAGGUCCAUCUCCCUCAAGACGGCAUCCACAACCGACCUGAUCUCUGAAUAAUUCGCCCCGCUGUGAAUGGAUGCAGCAGCCAGAUUCAUCCUGGUCUUCUUGUCUUUCACCACAUCCCCGGCAGCGAAUAUCCUCUGGGGAAGAGGAUGAUGCUGAUUGAGGGCGAAGAUCUCCAGAAGGGAGCUGAGAAGCGAGGUACGGAGGAUGGUAUGCAGCUCGCUUAUGGGGUGCAGCACCCGCACCGCUCCCGCCGCCUCCGGAGCAGCAGAUCGGCGCAUCCACUGGAAGUGCACCAACUCAUUGGUCAGGGUGAAGGGCAUGGUCUCCAGAUACCCUAGUAGUC